rnacentral:rRNA from 1 species
CAGCAGCCGCGGGAAAACGUAGGGUGCGAGCGUUAAUCGGAAUUACUGGGCGUAAAGCGUGCGCAGGCGGUUGUGUAAGACAGGUGUGAAAUCCCCGGGCUUAACCUGGGAACUGCGCUUGUGACUGCACAGCUAGAGUAUGGCAGAGGGGGGUGGAAUUCCACGUGUAGCAGUGAAAUGCGUAGAGAUGUGGAGGAACACCGAUGGCGAAGGCAGCCCCCUGGGCCAAUACUGACGCUCAUGCACGAAAGCGUGGGGAGCGAACAGGAUUAGAUACCCCUGUAGUCCCUGUCUCUUAUAC